GUUUCCAGGGGCUGGGGGAGAGAGAGAAGGGUGAAUAGGCAGAGCACAGAGGAUUUCCAGGGCAGCUAAUGGCUCUGCAUGGUACUAUAAUAGUGGCACGUGUCACUAUACGUUUGUCAAAACCCAUAAGGUGGCAACAACUCCUGGCAACACCAGGAGGGAGCUCCGAUACAGAUGUGGAUUCUGGGUGACAAUGAUGUGUCAAUUUAGAUUUAUUGAUCGGAAAACAUGUACCACUUUGGUGAAGGAUGUUGAUCGUGAGUGAGACUGCUUGUGCGGAGGCAGGAGGUGUAUGGAUCUCACCAUGCUUUCUCUGUUUUUCUGUGAACCUAAAAUUAUCUGUUAAAAAUAUCAAACCAACCAAACCAAACCAAAUCAAACCAAAAGCAAAUGAGACCAAGCACCAGCUUACCAAAGCUGGGCGUCAUCUUUGGGAAUGGAGUGGCUGGGGUGGGAAAGAGGUCCUGUGCUGUUCCCAAGUGGGUCAGGGCGGGGAAGCCUCUGUUGACCAUGAAGGCCAACAAAUAAGGAAGCGGCAGGAGGAAGGAAAAUAGACAGGAAAUGAGGGACCAGCCUAGGACAGACGUGUGACCCAGAAGUUGCCAAGAAUAGCGAGAACACCUCAAAUAACAUCAAAGCAUCUCCCACCCGUCUAGUGCUUCCUCCACGCAGGUGAUCUACUAGGCACUCUAUAGGAUUUACUCACUCAAUGCUCACAACAACCCCAGGGGACAGGCAGGGCUGGUAUUAAAAAUAUGCAGAUAUUAGAAUGGCAUGGAGUCCUGAGUCUCCUCUUCUGCCGGGCACCGACCCUUCCGGUGCUGGAUUGUGAGGCGGACAGCUUCGUGGGCAGGGAGGGGCCGAGGUACUGGUGGUGGAGCUCAGUGAAGGGGCAGGGGCUUGACUCAGGGUUCUCACGCCUACACUGUCACAGGAUCACCUGGCUAACUCGAUACAGCGGAUUACUGGGCUCCACCUGCAGCACUGCUGCUUCGGAGAGCGAAGUGCAUGCUGCUGGGAAUGUUUGCUUAUCUCUCUCCGGCAGUGUUCCCCAGAGUCCUGGUCCUGGGCUCUGGCUCCGAGGAGGUUGUGGGUGCUGAGCACCCUUGCCAUGCUGCCUGCAGACUCAGCCCAUCUGCUCCCCAGCGCGCCUUGCCACCCGCAGCCAGACUACACAGGCUGGCUUUGACAAAGUGACAGAAGCUGUAAAAACAGCUGUUUGUCAUUCCCUGCUGCAAAACAAAACAACCAGAAAAAGAGGUUGAGUGAAAUGAAGAAAAGAUAGUUGUUUCAUGUAGAUAAGGAUAUUUUUACUUAUAGAACACUUACUUUCUCUUUUCAUUUCUUUAGUUCCUACUCAACUAUUUCUCUUUUUCUUGCCCUUGCUCCUUCCUUUUUUCCUCCUUCCCC
rnacentral:lncRNA from 1 species